rnacentral:rRNA from 1 species
AGAUUGAACGCUGGCGGCAUGCCUAACACAUGCAAGUCGAACGGCAGCGCGGGGGCAACCCUGGCGGCGAGUGGCGGACGGGUGAGGAAUACAUGGGGAUCUACCCUGUCGUGGGGGAUAACGUAGGGAAACUUACGCUAAUACCGCAUACGACCGAGAGGUGAAAGCGGCGGACCGCAAGGCGUCGCGCGACUGGAUGAGCCCAUGUCCGAUUAGCUAGUUGGCGGGGUAAGAGCCCACCAAGGCGACGAUCGGUAGCUGGUCUGAGAGGAUGAUCAGCCACACUGGAACUGAGACACGGUCCAGACUCCUACGGGAGCAGCAGGUGGGGAAUAUUGG